rnacentral:rRNA from 1 species
GUUAAGCGACUAAGCGUACACGGUGGAUGCCCUGGCAGUCAGAGGCGAUGAAGGACGUGCUAAUCUGCGAUAAGCGUCGGUAAGGUGAUAUGAACCGUUAUAACCGGCGAUUUCCGAAUGGGGAAACCCAGUGUGUUUCGACACACUAUCAUUAACUGAAUCCAUAGGUUAAUGAGGCGAACCGGGGGAACUGAAACAUCUAAGUACCCCGAGGAAAAGAAAUCAACCGAGAUUCCCCCAGUAGCGGCGAGCGAACGGGGAGCAGCCCAGAGCCUGAAUCAGUAUGUGUGUUAGUGGAAGCGUCUGGAAAGGCGCGCGAUACAGGGUGACAGCCCCGUACACAAAAAUGCACAUAUUGUGAGCUCGAUGAGUAGGGCGGGACACGUGGUAUCCUGUCUGAAUAUGGGGGGACCAUCCUCCAAGGCUAAAUACUCCUGACUGACCGAUAGUGAACCAGUACCGUGAGGGAAAGGCGAAAAGAACCCCGGCGAGGGGAGUGAAAAAGAACCUGAAACCGUGUACGUACAAGCAGUGGGAGCACGCUUAGGCGUGUGACUGCGUACCUUUUGUAUAAUGGGUCAGCGACUUAUAUUCUGUAGCAAGGUUAACCGAAUAGGGGAGCCGAAGGGAAACCGAGUCUUAACUGGGCGUUAAGUUGCAGGGUAUAGACCCGAAACCCGGUGAUCUAGCCAUGGGCAGGUUGAAGGUUGGGUAACACUAACUGGAGGACCGAACCGACUAAUGUUGAAAAAUUAGCGGAUGACUUGUGGCUGGGGGUGAAAGGCCAAUCAAACCGGGAGAUAGCUGGUUCUCCCCGAAAGCUAUUUAGGUAGCGCCUCGUGAAUUCAUCUCCGGGGGUAGAGCACUGUUUCGGCAAGGGGGUCAUCCCGACUUACCAACCCGAUGCAAACUGCGAAUACCGGAGAAUGUUAUCACGGGAGACACACGGCGGGUGCUAACGUCCGUCGUGAAGAGGGAAACAACCCAGACCGCCAGCUAAGGUCCCAAAGUCAUGGUUAAGUGGGAAACGAUGUGGGAAGGCCCAGACAGCCAGGAUGUUGGCUUAGAAGCAGCCAUCAUUUAAAGAAAGCGUAAUAGCUCACUGGUCGAGUCGGCCUGCGCGGAAGAUGUAACGGGGCUAAACCAUG